rnacentral:rRNA from 1 species
UACGGAGGGUGCAAGCGUUAUUCGGAUUCACUGGGUUUAAAGGGUGCGUAGGUGGGCAGGUAAGUCAGUGGUGAAAUCUCCGAGCUUAACUCGGAACUGCCGUUGAUACUAUUUGUCUUGAAUAUUGUGGAGGUAAGCGGAAUAUGUCAUGUAGCGGUGAAAUGCUUAGAUAUGACAUAGAACACCAAUUGCGAAGGCAGCUUACUACACAACGAUUGACGCUGAGGCACGAAAGCGUGGGGAUCAAACAGG